rnacentral:tRNA from 1 species
GGUUUACGGCUCAGUGGAAGAGUGCUCGCCUAGCACAUGCAAGGACCUGGGUUCAAUCCUCAGCACCA